rnacentral:rRNA from 1 species
CUACGGGAUGCACCAGCUGGGAAACUUCUGCAAUGUACGCAAGUAUGACAGAGCAAGCCAGAGUGUUUUUCCGUAUUGGAAAAACUUUUAUGAGAUGUAAAAAGUCUCAUGAAUAAGGACUGGGCAAGACUGGUGCCAGCCGCCGCGGUAAUACCAGCGGUCCAAGUGGCAGCCAUUUUUAUUGGGUCUAAAACAUCCGUAGCUUGCCUUGUAAGUCUCCUGUGAAAUCUGGCAUCUUAAGUGCCAGGCGUGCAAGAGAUACUGCAAGGCUCGGGACCGGUAGACGCAAGGAGUACGGUUAGGGUAGCGGUUAAAUGCGUUGAUCCUUUCUGGACUAACGACAGCGAAGGCACCUUGCGAGAACGGAUCUGACAGUGAGGGAUGAAGGCUAGGGUCGCAAAACGGAUUAGAUACCCGGGUAGUC